GGGCCUCCUUACCUCACCCUAUAAAUCUUCCAGAGGCAUGCCACUUCCCUUCUGUAGUAGUUAGGCUUCUCUAGAGGAACAGAGUCAUUAGAAAAUGUGUGCAGGGGGGACUUAGUAGGUAGCGUAAGGGAUCAGAGGUGAAAGGAUCCACAGAGGCUGUCUGCACACCAGAAAGCAGAGGACCCAGGAGUUCCUCAGACCAAGAAACUGGAUGAGGCAGACCAAGAGGGACCAAGGAUCCAGGCCCCCUCCAAAGUGGAAGGCCUGCGAGCUGCCUGCGGAGUCUCCAGUGAGAGUCUGCACCGGGAGGCUGAAGAAACGGGAGACCAAUGUCCAAAGGCGACUAGAGCUCUUCCAACAUGGCAGCACUUCCUUUUCCUUUCCCUUUUUAUUCCAUCCAGGCUACAAGUCUAUUGGUCAGUGCCAACCACAUUCUGAGUAGGUCUUCCCCCUCAGUUUGCUAGCCUCUAUGUCAGUCAUCCACAGACACGCCCACAGCUGGGCUUUACUCAUCUGCCAGGCAGUUCUUACUCAGGAAGCCACUUUGACACAGCAUGGUCAAUGGUUAUAUCCUCUCAUGGAGAUUGCAGUCAACCUACACCCAACUCCAGACACAAUCUCAACCAUCUACCCAGUAUUUCCACCUGUGUUCCCUCCGCACACAUCAAACUCAUCAUCAUGAGUUGGGGACAUGACACUUCUUCUCAUGACCCCCUUCCGGUGCUGGAGCAGGACACACAAUGCACAGUCGAAGGCCGCUGAGCACAGUGACAUUUCCCAAAGUGUGCUCCUCAGGCUAGCAGCACCCAUGCCUCCUGCAAAGUUAUAAGCAAUGCAGAUCCUCAGGCCCCACCUAGGCGAAAGGAACCGGAGCUCCAGGCUGCUGCAGGGACCUGUGCUUGCAUCAUCCUGACACAGUGACCUCUCAGAGCCCCGGCUGGGAAAUGGGCCGCCAGGCCUCAGACCAGACAUAGCUGGGCCUGCUGGGCCCCACACAGUAGCCUCCUCAGGAAAGAAGACUCCAGAGCUGCUGCAGGAAGUAGCAAGAACUAUUGGAUAAAGCUGGCUGGAGGACUGCUAGGUGCUGACCCGGGGUGGCUCACUCAGAAGCCCAUGAGGGAACAGUAAAAUGCCCGGACUGGUAUAGCCCCGAGGCUACUGCCCAGGGAAGGAUGGGUCUGGUGUCCAGGGACUGUCAGGCUGAUCCACGUCAGAUCUCAUGCGAAUAAGGGGCAGAAACCCAUGAGAUAACAGAAAACAGAGAUCCUCUGAGAGCCAAAGGUUUUACAGUGAAGGAGAGAAAAAACAGAGAAUUGGUUCUGGAGCUCUGUUGGCAGCUUCCCAGCUGUGGGCAUGACCUGUGUUUUAUUCUCUCUCUCUCUCAAGGAGCUGCAACAUCAUGGCAAUGAUCUGACCGCGGGCCCAGGACUCAGGCUGCCUGCAUUCAGGGGCAGCUUUGUGUUUCCAGCUCAUCAGCCCUGCAUUCAUCACUUCACUAACUUCUCUCCAUGCUUUGCCUCCUGCCUGGAACAGUGCUCGGUAAACAUUGGCUACAUGGACUCCUGGUUCUGUCUCCAGUCCUCAGUGCUCCUGUAUCAGCCACAGUACUGGUUCCGCUGGCCUGUUCUCAGUUGCCCAUACUCGGUGAGGUAGAAUGUAGGAAGCCUUAAUUAUGAAUUCGGAGACAAGCCCUGCCACCCUUGGAGGAGGACAUGGAAGGCAGCUAUGCUCACCACUAUACCACCAACGCGAGGAGGACAUGGGAUACGCAAUCUAUUUGCUUUACAUAAGGUGGAGAAGGAAAGAUGCCCACUUAACAUUUUUCUCCAAGGGCUGUGGUUCCCGUGUUGUCCCUUCCUUGGCUGUUCGGAGUUGAAUGCCUCCUCUCCACCACCUUUGCCCCGGGCCGCCAUUGUUCCUCUAAGCUUCUCUCCUUGCUUUGGUUUUAUGUAGAUUUUGUAUUGUAGUUGAUCUUUCAUGGGCAGAGAGCAAUGAAUUAAAGUCUCAUAUUUCUGAUGUGUUUCUGUUCGUUCUCCUAAUAGCUCCCAUGGUUGCUGCUUUAUGAAUUUUGAUGCUGUGUUAUUUGG
rnacentral:lncRNA from 1 species